rnacentral:rRNA from 1 species
AUACGUAAUGUGAAUUGCAGAAUUCAGCGAACCAUCGAAUCUUUGAACGCACAUUGCGCCCGCCAGCAUUCUGGCGGGCAUGCCUGUCCGAGCGUCAUUUCCCCCCUCACGCG